UACGUAGGGGCGAGCGUUGUCCGGAAUUAUUGGGCGUAAAGGGUUCGUAGGCGGUAAUACAUGUCAGAUGUGAAAUCUUGUGGCUUAACCACAUCAAGCAUCUGAAACUGUAUAACUUGAGUGGAGGAGAGGUAAGUGGAAUUCCUAGUGUAGCGGUGAAAUGCGUAGAGAUUAGGAAGAACACCAGUGGCGAAGGCGAUUCUCUGGACUGUAACUGACGCUGAGGCUCGAAAGCGUGGGGAGCAAACAGGAUUAGAUACCCU
rnacentral:rRNA from 1 species